rnacentral:sRNA from 2 species
UCAAAGGAGACAGUACAGCACAUAUUGAACGAGCCAGUUGUGAAAUCUGAAACUCUAGUAGCUUGAAAACCAGGACGAUGCUGAGUAGCAAGCUUGAGGGGCAAGGCUGGGGAGUUUUGCAAAAGAAGUUUUAACCAGCCGGCAUACACCUUUUGCGACUUUUCCUCCGCCAACUGAUCCCAAUCCAUCGUGAAGCAAGGAUUCUGUCAGAGGAACCUCACAAUGUGGUAGCUUCGGUAUACCCGCGGGGAGUAUUUGUCUUCCAGAGAUUGGACUGAGUGAAAUGGCGACCUACAAACGAGGUGAGCCUGAAUACAGGAACCCAGAUAUAACUAGGUGGGGGAGAACUUACUCAAUGUAAUCGCUUCGCCCAGCCCCCGAUAUUGAAUAUUAAAUGCGUGACAAACUUAUCCUGAAUCUAUGAAAAGUCCUAGAUUGAGCGCGGAAUCCGUUUCGAAAAAGGGAUAGGGAUAGUUUGGCGCCAAGUACAGUACAUAAGGAGGAGCAGGAGGAGGCCAAUUUAUUUGCCCAUGUUUUAUUCAAUUCCUUCUUGCAUACUCUCCCUCUGAGAGUGAGGAUAUUCUCCUCAAAUUAUUUGUGUUAUCAAUCAGUUGAUCUUUUUCUUUUCGUGGCCGCUUAACAUUUCUUCCCCCC